UUUAUGGAGAGUUUGAUCCUGGCUCAGGAUGAACGCUGGCGGCGUGCCUAAUACAUGCAAGUCGAGCGAACGGACGAGAAGCUUGCUUCUCUGAUGUUAGCGGCGGACGGGUGAGUAACACGUGGAUAACCUACCUAUAAGACUGGGAUAACUUCGGGAAACCGGAGCUAAUACCGGAUAAUAUUUUGAACCGCAUGGUUCAAAAGUGAAAGACGGUCUUGCUGUCACUUAUAGAUGGAUCCGCGCUGCAUUAGCUAGUUGGUAAGGUAACGGCUUACCAAGGCAACGAUGCAUAGCCGACCUGAGAGGGUGAUCGGCCACACUGGAACUGAGACACGGUCCAGACUCCUACGGGAGGCAGCAGUAGGGAAUCUUCCGCAAUGGGCGAAAGCCUGACGGAGCAACGCCGCGUGAGUGAUGAAGGUCUUCGGAUCGUAAAACUCUGUUAUUAGGGAAGAACAUAUGUGUAAGUAACUGUGCACAUCUUGACGGUACCUAAUCAGAAAGCCACGGCUAACUACGUGCCAGCAGCCGCGGUAAUACGUAGGUGGCAAGCGUUAUCCGGAAUUAUUGGGCGUAAAGCGCGCGUAGGCGGUUUUUUAAGUCUGAUGUGAAAGCCCACGGCUCAACCGUGGAGGGUCAUUGGAAACUGGAAAACUUGAGUGCAGAAGAGGAAAGUGGAAUUCCAUGUGUAGCGGUGAAAUGCGCAGAGAUAUGGAGGAACACCAGUGGCGAAGGCGACUUUCUGGUCUGUAACUGACGCUGAUGUGCGAAAGCGUGGGGAUCAAACAGGAUUAGAUACCCUGGUAGUCCACGCCGUAAACGAUGAGUGCUAAGUGUUAGGGGGUUUCCGCCCUUAGUGCUGCAGCUAACGCAUUAAGCACUCCGCCUGGGGAGUACGACCGCAAGGUUGAAACUCAAAGGAAUUGACGGGGACCCGCACAAGCGGUGGAGCAUGUGGUUUAAUUCGAAGCAACGCGAAGAACCUUACCAAAUCUUGACAUCCUUUGACAACUCUAGAGAUAGAGCUUUCCCCUUCGGGGGACAAAGUGACAGGUGGUGCAUGGUUGUCGUCAGCUCGUGUCGUGAGAUGUUGGGUUAAGUCCCGCAACGAGCGCAACCCUUAAGCUUAGUUGCCAUCAUUAAGUUGGGCACUCUAAGUUGACUGCCGGUGACAAACCGGAGGAAGGUGGGGAUGACGUCAAAUCAUCAUGCCCUUAUGAUUUGGGCUACACACGUGCUACAAUGGACAAUACAAAGGGCAGCGAAACCGUGAGGUCAAGCAAAUCCCAUAAAGUUGUUCUCAGUUCGGAUUGUAGUCUGCAACUCGACUACAUGAAGCUGGAAUCGCUAGUAAUCGUAGAUCAGCAUGCUACGGUGAAUACGUUCCCGGGUCUUGUACACACCGCCCGUCACACCACGAGAGUUUGUAACACCCGAAGCCGGUGGAGUAACCUUUUAGGAGCUAGCCGUCGAAGGUGGGACAAAUGAUUGGGGUGAAGUCGUAACAAGGUAGCCGUAUCGGAAGGUGCGGCUGGAUCACCUCCUUUCU
rnacentral:rRNA from 1 species